UGAGAUUCCUAAGUGAACGGUCACCAGAC
rnacentral:piRNA from 1 species